rnacentral:pre_miRNA from 1 species
ACAACAACAUUCGGACCGUCGGUCUACCGAGCAAUAUCACCCGCUCGGUGGAAGAUCUUCCCUUUGUCGUAUAU